AUUGAACGCUGGCGGAAUGCUUUACACAUGCAAGUCGAACGGCAGCACGGACUUCGGUCUGGUGGCGAGUGGCGAACGGGUGAGUAACAUAUCGGAACGUAUCCAAUAAUGGGGGAUAACUAAUCGAAAGGUUGGCUAAUACCGCAUACGCCCUACGGGGGAAAGCUAGGGAUCGUAAGACCUGGCGUUAAUGGAGCGGCCGAUAUCUGAUUAGCUAGUUGGUGGGGUAAAGGCCCACCAAGGCGACGAUCAGUAGCUGGUCUGAGAGGACGACCAGCCACACUGGAACUGAGACACGGUCCAGACUCCUACGGGAGGCAGCAGUGGGGAAUUUUGGACAAUGGGCGCAAGCCUGAUCCAGCCAUUCCGCGUGAGUGAAGAAGGCCU
rnacentral:rRNA from 1 species